rnacentral:SRP_RNA from 1 species
GAUUUGGUCCUGCGCAAUAGGAACUCGUGAACCUCGUCAGGUCCGGAAGGAAGCAGCGAUAAGCGUGGCGCCCUAUGUGCCGCAGAUCAGCCUGAUCCUG